GAUGAAGAGCGCAGCGAAAUGCGAUAAGUAGUGUGAAUUGCAGAAUUCAGUGAAUCAUCGAAUCUUUGAACGCACAUUGCGCCCCAUGGUAUUCCGUGGGGCAUGCCUGUUCGAGCGUCAUUUACCCCCUCAAGCUCCGCUUGGUGUUGGGCGUCUGUCCCGCUUCGCGCGCGGACUCGCCCCAAAGGUAUUGGCAGCGGUCGCGCCAGCUUCUCGCGCAGCACAUUGCGCUUCUCGAGGCACCGGUGGGCCCGCGUCCAUCAAGCUCACCCCCCCAGUUUGACCUCGGAUCAGGUAGGGAUACCCGCUGAACUUAAGCAUAUCAAUAAGCGGAGGA
rnacentral:misc_RNA from 1 species